rnacentral:rRNA from 1 species
GAUGAACGCUGGCGGCGUGCCUAAUACAUGCCAGUCGAGCGAACAGACGAGGAGCUUGCUCCUCUGACGUUAGCGGCGGACGGGUGAGUAACACGUGGAUAACCUACCUAUAAGACUGGGAUAACUUCGGGAAACCGGAGCUAAUACCGGAUAAUAUAUUGAACCGCAUGGUUCAAUAGUGAAAGACGGUUUUGCUGUCACUUAUAGAUGGAUCCGCGCCGCAUUAGCUAGUUGGUAAGGUAACGGCUUACCAAGGCAACGAUGCGUAGCCGACCUGAGAGGGUGAUCGGCCACACUGGAACUGAGACACGGUCCAGACUCCUACGGGAGGCAGCAGUAGGGAAUCUUCCGCAAUGGGCGAAAGCUUGACGGGGCAACGCCGCGUGAGUGAUGAAGGUCUUCGGAUCGUAAAACUCUGUUAUUAGGGAAGAACAAAUGUGUAAGUAACUAUGCACGUCUUGACGGUACCUAAUCAGAAAGCCACGGCUAACUACGUG